AGAGUUUGAUCCUGGCUCAGGAUGAACGCUGGCGGUAUGCUUAACACAUGCAAGUCGAACGAACCUUCGGGUUAGUGGCGAACGGGUGAGUAAUACAUUGGGAUCUGCCCAAGAGUAGGACAUAGCCUGCCGAAAGGUGGGGUAAUUUCCUAUAGUCCUAGCAAUAGGUAAAGCAGCAAUGCGCUCUUGGAGGAACCUUUGUUCUAUCAGCUUGUUGGUGAGGUAAUGGCUCACCAAGGCGACGACGGAUAGCUGGCGUGAGAGCGCGACCAGCCACACUGGAACUGAGACACGGUCCAGACUCCUACGGGAGGCAGCAGUGAGGAAUUUUCCGCAAUGGGCGAAAGCCUGACGGAGCAAUACCGCGUGGAGGAUGACGGCUUUCGGGUUGUAAACUCCUUUUAAAUGGGAAGAUUAUGACGGUACCAUUUGAAUAAGCAUCGGCUAACUACGUGCCAGCAGCCGCGGUAAUACGUAGGAUGCAAGCGUUAUCCGGAAUUACUGGGCGUAAAGCGUGUGUAGGUGGUUUGUUAAGUUGAAUGUUAAAUCUACGGGCUCAACUCGUGGGCUGCAUUCAAUACUGGCAGACUUGAAGAUGGAAGAGGUAAGCGGAAUUAGUGGUGGAGCGGUGAAAUGCGUAGAUAUCACUAAGAACACCAAUGGCGAAGGCAGCUUACUGGGCCAUUCUUGACACUGAGACACGAAAGCGUGGGGAGCGAACAGGAUUAGAUACCCUGGUAGUCCACGCCGUAAACGAUGAUCACUAGCUGUUCGAGGUGUCGACCCCUUGAGUAGCGAAGC
rnacentral:rRNA from 1 species